AUGAAAUUGAUCUCCCCGUGCAGAAGCGGGGAUAAUACCAUAAGACGAGAAGACCCUAUGGAGCUUUAGACGUCAGAGCAGCCCAUGUAAAGCACCCCUUAACAAAGGAAAAAACCAAAUGAAGCCUGCCCUAAUGUCUUUGGUUGGGGCGACCGCGGGGAAAUACAAAACCCCCAUGUGGAGUAGGAAUACACAUUCCUAAACCCAAGAGCUCCCGCUCUAAUGAACAGAAAUUCUGACCAAUAAGAUCCGGCACACGCCGAUCAACGGACCGAGUUACCCUAGGGAUAACAGCGCAAUCCCCUUAAAGAGCCCUUAUCGACAAGGGGGUUUACGACCUCGAUGUUGGAUCAGGACAUCCUAAUGGUGCAGCCGCUAUUAAGGGUUCGUUUGUUCAACGAUUAAAGUCCGACGUGAGCGGA
rnacentral:rRNA from 1 species